rnacentral:rRNA from 1 species
GACGAACGCUGGCGGCGUGCUUAACACAUGCAAGUCGAACGGAAAGGCCCUGCUUUUGUGGGGUGCUCGAGUGGCGAACGGGUGAGUAACACGUGAGUAACCUGCCCUUGACUUUGGGAUAACUUCAGGAAACUUGGGCUAAUACCGGAUAGGAGCUCCUUCUGCAUGGUGGGGGUUGGAAAGUUUCGGCGGUUGGGGAUGGACUCGCGGCUUAUCAGCUUGUUGGUGGGGUAGUGGCUUACCAAGGCUUUGACGGGUAGCCGGCCUGAGAGGGUGACCGGCCACAUUGGGACUGAGAUACGGCCCAGACUCCUACGGGAGGCAGCAGUGGGGAAUAUUGCACAAUGGGCGGAAGCCUGAUGCAGCAACGCCGCGUGCGGGAUGACGGCCUUCGGGUUGUAAACCGCUUUCGCCUGUGACGAAGCGUGAGUGACGGUAAUGGGUAAAGAAGCACCGGCUAACUACGUG